rnacentral:rRNA from 1 species
GCCAAACAGCUAGCUCAAAAAACUUUAAAAAUCAACAACAUUAAUGAUACGACAUUAUCUUAACCACUAAACUAAAUCAUUCUUUUACCUGAGUAUGGGAGACAGAAAG